rnacentral:rRNA from 1 species
AGAGUUUGAUCAUGGCUCAGGUUGAACGCUGGCGGCAUGCUUUACACAUGCAAGUCGAACGGCAGCACGGGGGCAACCCUGGUGGCGAGUGGCGAACGGGUGAGUAAUGCAUCGGAACGUAUCUUCAAGUGGGGGAUAACGCACCGAAAGGUGUGCUAAUACCGCAUAAUCUCUACGGAGAAAAGCAGGGGAUCGCAAGACCUUGCGCUUUUGGAGCGGCCGAUGUCUGAUUAGCUAGUUGGUGAGGUAAAGGCUUACCAAGGCUUCGAUCAGUAGCUGGUCUGAGAGGACGACCAGCCACACUGGGACUGAGACACGGCCCAGACUCCUACGGGAGGCAGCAGUGGGGAAUUUUGGACAAUGGGGGAAACCCUGAUCCAGCCAUGCCGCGUGAGUGAAGAAGGCCUUCGGGUUGUAAAGCUCUUUCAGCCGGAACGAAACGGUCACGGCUAAUACCUGUGAUCACUGACGGUACCGGAAGAAGAAGCACCGGCUAACUACGUGCCAGCAGCCGCGGUAAUACGUAGGGUGCGAGCGUUAAUCGGAAUUACUGGGCGUAAAGCGUGCGCAGGCGGUUUUGUAAGUCAGAUGUGAAAUCCCCGGGCUUAACCUGGGAACUGCGUUUGAAACUACAAGGCUAGAGUGUAGCAGAGGGGGGUGGAAUUCCACGUGUAGCAGUGAAAUGCGUAGAGAUGUGGAGGAACACCGAUGGCGAAGGCAGCCCCCUGGGUUAACACUGACGCUCAGGCACGAAAGCGUGGGGAGCAAACAGGAUUAGAUACCCUGGUAGUCCACGCCCUAAACUAUGUCAACUAGUUGUCGGGCCUUAACGGGCUUGGUAACGCAGCUAACGCGUGAAGUUGACCGCCCGGGGAGUACGGUCGCAAGAUUAAAACUCAAAGGAAUUGACGG